UGUGCAUCGCCGCUUCACCAUGGCAACAGGUCCUCUCACACAUCAGAGUCAAGACAAGCGGAUUGCAGCCUAAAUAUGAGCAAGCAAAUAUGAGACAUGGGAAUUAGGAGUCGGGCCCCUGUGCCCUCACACAACCAGAGGAGACAGCAUCCAAACCAGAGCAGAUGAGACGCAGACAUGCACAGAGCAGAGAGUCCCUGCGCUGCUGCGCUGCUCCUGAAACAAGAAGUGAGACAGAGAGGGAGUUAUCAUCUCAGGACACUUCAGAUUUAUUUUGGGUCUAAUCUCGAGGUUGGAAACUGGACUGGACAAACAACCUGUGUAUACAAG